rfam:Betaproteobacteria bacterium CG2_30_68_42 cg2_3.0_scaffold_760_c, whole genome shotgun sequence.
GGGCGGUUAACUCAGCGGUAGAGUGCCACCUUCACACGGUGGAAGUCACUGGUUCGAUCCCAGUACCGCCCA